AUACAGAGGGUGCAAGCGUUAAUCGGAUUUACUGGGCGUAAAGCGCGCGUAGGUGGCUAAUUAAGUCAAAUGUGAAAUCCCCGAGCUUAACUUGGGAAUUGCAUUCGAUACUGGUUAGCUAGAGUAUGGGAGAGGAUGGUAGAAUUCCAGGUGUAGCGGUGAAAUGCGUAGAGAUCUGGAGGAAUACCGAUGGCGAAGGCAGCCAUCUGGCCUAAUACUGACACUGAGGUGCGAAAGCAUGGGAGCAAACAGGAUUAGAUACCCUGGUAGUCCAUGCCGUAAACGAUGUCUACUAGCCGUUGGGGCCCUUGAGGCUUUAGUGGCGCAGCUAACGCGAUAAGUAGACCGCCUGGGGAGUACGGUCGCAAGACUAAAACUCAAAUGAAUUGACGGGG
rnacentral:rRNA from 1 species